rnacentral:tRNA from 1 species
GUGCGUGUAGCUCAGCUGGAUAGAGCGACUGGCUACGGACCAGUAGGUCGUGGGUUCGAACGUACAACGGAGC